AGCAGUAGCCGCGGGAAUACGUAGGGUGCGAGCGUUAAUCGGAAUUACUGGGCGUAAAGCGUGCGCAGGCGGUUUUGUAAGACAGGCGUGAAAUCCCCGGGCUCAACCUGGGAAUGGCGCUUGUGACUGCAAAGCUAGAGUGCGGCAGAGGGGGAUGGAAUUCCGCGUGUAGCAGUGAAAUGCGUAGAUAUGCGGAGGAACACCGAUGGCGAAGGCAAUCCCCUGGGCCUGCACUGACGCUCAUGCACGAAAGCGUGGGGAGCAAACAGGAUUAGAUACCCCAGUAGUCCCUGUCUCUUAUAC
rnacentral:rRNA from 1 species